rnacentral:piRNA from 1 species
UCCUUGCUCAACUUGAUAGUGUCUANACCC